CAAAAGUGUGAUCGAAGCCUCUGCCAGUCCCUAAAUUGUGAUCCCUGCCCUGGUCUCUUUCAUAGUGAUCUUUUGUUUUCUUACCUUUCUCCAGAAAGCCCUCUAUCUCUGUCUGAUUAAGCAGUCUGAGGCCCCAGAGCAUGUGACAUGAGGCUGAGCGAUGCUCUGUGAGCUGCCCCACUGCAGAGAAGCUCACUCAGGGCUCAGUCCUGCCAGCCCCACACCUCCCCGAGACAGGGCACUGCUGAUGAGGAAUGAGUUCUCUCUUUGCUUCUUUUUCAAGUGACCCUAAAAUAAAACAGCCAAAUGGAAGCAAACACAAGUUGACAAAGGCAGCCUCGCUCCCGGGCAAGAACGGCAACCCCACUUUUGCUGCAGUCACGGCUGGCUACGACAAGAGCCCAGGUGGGAAUGGCUUUGCUAAAGUUUCUUCAAACAAAACAGGUUUCUCCAGCAGCCUUGGCAUUUCACACGCUCCUGUUGACAGCGAUGGCUCAGACAGCUCGGGUUUGUGGAGUCCCGUCAGCAACCCAAGCAGCCCUGACUUCACUCCCCUCAAUUCGUUCUCC
rnacentral:sRNA from 1 species